GCUCAGGAUGAACGCUGGCGGCGUGCCUAAUACAUGCAAGUCGAACGAACUUCCGUUAAUUGAUUAUGACGUACUUGUACUGAUUGAGAUUUUAACACGAAGUGAGUGGCGAACGGGUGAGUAACACGUGGGUAACCUGCCCAGAAGUAGGGGAUAACACCUGGAAACAGAUGCUAAUACCGUAUAACAGAGAAAACCGCAUGGUUUUCUUUUAAAAGAUGGCUCUGCUAUCACUUCUGGAUGGACCCGCGGCGUAUUAGCUAGUUGGUGAGGUAAAGGCUCACCAAGGCAGUGAUACGUAGCCGACCUGAGAGGGUAAUCGGCCACAUUGGGACUGAGACACGGCCCAGACUCCUACGGGAGGCAGCAGUAGGGAAUCUUCCACAAUGGACGCAAGUCUGAUGGAGCAACGCCGCGUGAGUGAAGAAGGGUUUCGGCUCGUAAAGCUCUGUUGUUAAAGAAGAACGUGGGUAAGAGUAACUGUUUACCCAGUGACGGUAUUUAACCAGAAAGCCACGGCUAACUACGUGCCAGCAGCCGCGGUAAUACGUAGGUGGCAAGCGUUAUCCGGAUUUAUUGGGCGUAAAGCGAGCGCAGGCGGUCUUUUAAGUCUAAUGUGAAAGCCUUCGGCUCAACCGAAGAAGUGCAUUGGAAACUGGGAGACUUGAGUGCAGAAGAGGACAGUGGAACUCCAUGUGUAGCGGUGAAAUGCGUAGAUAUAUGGAAGAACACCAGUGGCGAAGGCGGCUGUCUGGUCUGCAACUGACGCUGAG
rnacentral:rRNA from 1 species